CCAAUAGCGUAUAUUAAAGUUGUUGCAGUUAAAAAGCUCGUAGUUGAAUUUCGGAAUCAGUACGUUGGUCGUGCCUUCGGUAUGCACUGGCGUCACUGGUUUCUCCUUUCUGAAGAACCGUGAUGUCAUUAAUUUGGUGUUGCGGGGAAUCAGGACUGUUACUUUGAAAAAAUUAGAGUGUUUAAAGCAGGCUCACGCUUGAAUACAUUAGCAUGGAAUAAUGAAAUAGGACGUUUGAUUCUAUUUUGUUGGUUUCUAGGAUCGACGUAAUGAUUAAUAGGGGUAGUUGGGGGCAUUAGUAUUCAAUUGUCAGAGGUGAAAUUCUUGGAUUUAUUGAAGACUAACUACUGCGAAAGCAUUUGCCAAGGAUGUUUUCAUUAAUCAAGAACGAAAGUUAGGGGAUCGAAGACGAUCAGAUACCGUCGUAGUCUUAACCAUAAACUAUGCCGACUAGGGAUCGGAUGAUGUUAAUUUUAUAAUGACUCAUUCGGCGCCUUACG
rnacentral:rRNA from 1 species